CAGCCUGGGGGGGAAGCCAAGAGAAACCCAAGCAAUGGCGCUUGCCAGCACUUCCGACCCUAGAGAGGGCUCUAGCAGUUUUCUGCCCACUUGGCAGAAGCUCUAAUAAUUGGAUAUCCUUCCCAUGUAGUCUUGAUUCCCUUUAAGCUGC